rnacentral:rRNA from 1 species
UACUUUUAAAUAAAGAAGAGUUUGUAGUGGAUGCCUUGGGUCUGGAAGUCGAAGAAGGACGUGAUUACCUGCGAUAAGCCUCGUUUAGUUGGAUAUAAACUUUGAGACGGGGAUUUCCGAAUGGGGAAACCUAACUAGAUUAAUCUCUAGUUGCCCACUUUUGAAUAUAUAGAAAGUGUGAGCGAGACACCUUGUGAAUUGAAACAUCUUAGUAGCAAGAGGAAAAGAAAAUAAAUAAUGAUUCUGUUAGUAGUGGCGAGCGAAAGCAGAAGAGCCCAAACCGUAUUUAUACGGGGUUGUAGGACAGUCUACAUAGAGUUACAAAGAUUAUGUAUAGUAGAAAAAGCUGGGAAGCUUUGACAUAGAGGGUGAUAUCCCCGUAUACGAAAUGCAUAAUUCUCUUGACUGCAUCCUGAGUAGGGCGGGGCACGUGAAACCC